GUGGGGAAUAUUGGACAAUGGGCGCAAGCCUGAUCCAGCAAUGCCGCGUGGGUGAAGAAGGUCUUCGGAUCGUAAAGCCCUUUCGACAGGGACGAUGAUGACGGUACCUGUAGAAGAAGCCCCGGCUAACUUCGUUCCAGCAGCCGCGGUAAUACGAAGGGGGCUAGCGUUACUCGGAAUUACUGGGCGUAAAGGGCGCGUAGGCGGCUCUGUUAGUCAGGCGUGAAAUUCCUGGGCUUAACCUGGGGACUGCGCUUGAUACUGCAGGGCUUGAGGCCGAGAGAGGGUGGUGGAAUUCCCAGUGUAGAGGUGAAAUUCGUAGAUAUUGGGAAGAACACCGGUGGCGAAGGCGACCACCUGGCUCGGUUCUGACGCUGAGGCGCGACAGCGUGGGGAGCAAACAGGAUUAGAUACCCGGGUAGUCC
rnacentral:rRNA from 1 species